rnacentral:rRNA from 1 species
GACGAACGCUGGCGGCGUGCUUAACACAUGCAAGUCGAACGGAAAGGCCCUGCUUUUGUGGGGUGCUCGAGUGGCGAACGGGUGAGUAACACGUGAGUAACCUGCCCUUGACUUUGGGAUAACUUCAGGAAACUGGGGCUAAUACCGGAUAGGAGCUCCUGCUGCAUGGUGGGGGUUGGAAAGUUUCGGCGGUUGGGGAUGGACUCGCGGCUUAUCAGCUUGUUGGUGGGGUAGGGGCUUACCAAGGCUUUGACGGGUAGCCGGCCUGAGAGGGUGACCGGCCACAUUGGGACUGAGAGACGGCCCAGACUCCUACGGGAGGCAGCAGUGGGGAAUAUUGCACAAUGGGCGGAAGCCUGAUGCAGCAACGCCGCGUGCGGGAUGACGGCCUUCGGGUUGUAAACCGCUUUCGCCUGUGACGAAGCGUGAGUGACGGUAAUGGGUAAAGAAGCACCGGCUAACUACGU